GAACCUCCUUAUAUAGCAAGACUUGCUUUAAUUAUAUAAUAAGUUUAUACCUUGAGAUGAGUUCUAUAAAGGUUGUCUUAUCUCAAACCUAUAGUCUUAUGAAAAUAAGCUGAAACUUAUGAAAAAUAUAUUUUUGAGAUUGACAAUUUUAUUGAACAUUAUCUUCAAAUUCUAAACUCUUAAAUGGAAUGAUCAAUUAAGGAGGAGAAAGAAAAUUUCAGAAGGAGAGAUCUUAUGGAACUUAAUCGUAUAAAUCUAUAACUAAAGGAGAGAGACAGAAUACUAAAUGAAAAGUG
rnacentral:lncRNA from 1 species